AGCAGUAGCCACGGGAAUACGGAGGGAGCUAGCGUUGUUCGGAAUUACUGGGCGUAAAGCGCACGUAGGCGGUUAUUCAAGUCAGAGGUGAAAGCCCGGGGCUCAACCCCGGAACUGCCUUUGAAACUAGAUGACUAGAAUCUUGGAGAGGUCAGUGGAAUUCCGAGUGUAGAGGUGAAAUUCGUAGAUAUUCGGAAGAACACCAGUGGCGAAGGCGACUGACUGGACAAGUAUUGACGCUGAGGUGCGAAAGCGUGGGGAGCGAACAGGAUUAGAUACCCGAGUAGUCCCUGUCUCUUAUAC
rnacentral:rRNA from 1 species